rnacentral:pre_miRNA from 1 species
ACAACAUUAGAACCGUCGGUCUACCGAGUAAUAACACCCGCUCGGUGGAAGAUCUCUCCGUCGU